rnacentral:rRNA from 1 species
AGUGAACGCUGGCAGUAGGCCUAACACAUGCAAGUCGAACGGCAGCACAGUAAGAGCUUGCUCUUACGGGUGGCGAGUGGCGGACGGGUGAGGAAUACAUCGGAAUCUACUUUUUCGUGGGGGAUAACGUAGGGAAACUUACGCUAAUACCGCAUACGACCUACGGGUGAAAGCAGGGGAUCUUCGGACCUUGCGCGAUUGAAUUAGCCGAUGUCGGAUUAGCUAGUUGGCGGGGUAAAGGCCCACCAAGGCGACGAUCCGUAGCUGGUCUGAGAGGAUGAUCAGCCACACUGGAACUGAGACACGGUCCAGACUCCUACGGGAGGCAGCAGUGGGGAAUAUUGGACAAUGGGCGCAAGCCUGAUCCAGCCAUACCGCGUGGGUGAAGAAGGCCUUCGGGUUGUAAAGCCCUUUUGUUGGGAAAGAAAAGCAGCAGGUUAAUACCCCGCUGUUCUGACGGUACCCAAAGAAUAAGCACCGGCUAACUUCGUG